rnacentral:tRNA from 10 species
GGGGCCAUAGCUCAGCUGGGAGAGCGCCUGCUUUGCACGCAGGAGGUCGGCGGUUCGAUCCCGCCUGGCUCCACCA